GACGAACGCUGGCGGCGUGCCUAAUACAUGCAAGUAGAACGCACAGUUUAUACCUUAGCUGGCUACACCAUAGACGGUGAGUUGCGAACGGGUUAGUAACGCGUAGGUAACCUUCCUGGUAGCUUGGGAUAACUAGUGGAAACGCUAGCUAAUACCUCAUACUAUUAAUUAUUGCAUGAUAAUUAAUUGAAAGUUGCAAUUGCACCACUACCAGAUGGACCUGCGUUGUAUUAGCUAGUAGGUGAGGUAACGGCUCACCUAGGCGACGAUACAUAGCCGAACUGAGAGGGUGAUCGGCCAGACUGGGACUGAGACAGGGCCCAGACGCAUACGGGAGGGAGCCGUAGGGAAUCUGGGGCAAUGGGCGAAAGUCUGACCGAGAAACGCCGAGGGAGGGAAGAAGGUUGUCGGAUCGUAAAGCUCUGUUGUCAGAGAAGAACGGGUGUGAGAGUGGAAAGUUCACACUGUGACGGUAUCUUACAAGAAAGCGACGGCUAACUACGUG
rnacentral:rRNA from 1 species